AUCCGAAGACGUGAUGUGGAGCGAAAUAAAGUAGCAAAGCGUGUGAGCCAUGUGCCGAGAAAAGCUGCUAUUGUGUAAUGCGUGCCCGUACCGUAAACCGACACAGGUGGAUGAGGAGAGAAUCCUAAGGCCGACGGAAGAAGCAUUGUUAAGGAAUUCGGCAAAAUGACCCCGUAACUUCGGGAGAAGGGGUGCCUGCGAGAGCAGGCCGCAGAGAAUAGGCUCAAGCAACUGUUUAGCAAAAACACAGGUCUAUGCGAAACCGAAAGGUGAAGUAUAUGUGCUGACGCCUGCCCGGUGCUGGAAGGUUAAGAGGAGAGGUUAGCGUAAGCGAAGCUUUGAAUUUAAGCCCCAGUAAACGGCGGCCGUAACAAUAACGGUCCUAAGGUAGCGAAAUUCCUUGUCGGGUAAGUUCCGACCCGCACGAAAGGCGUAAUGAUUUGAGCACUGUCUCGACAAUGCAUCCGGUGAAAUUGAAGUACCAGUGAAGAUGCUGGUUACCCGCGCCAGGACGGAAAGACCCCAUGGAGCUUUACUCCAGUUUGAUACUGGGAUUCGGUACUGCAUGUACAGGAUAGGUGGGGGACGAAGAAGGAUGGACGCCAGUCUGUCCGGAGUCGCUGUUGGGAUACCACCCCUGUAGUACUGGGUUUCUAACCAGUUGCCAUGAACUGGCAAUGGGACAAUGUCAGGCGGGGAGUUUGACUGGGGCGGUCGCCUCCGAAAGGGUAUCGGAGGCGCUCAAAGGUUCCCUCAGAAUGGUUGGAAACCAUUUGAAGAGUGCAAAGGCAGAAGGGAGCUUGACUGCGACACCGACGGGUGGAGCAGGUACGAAAGUAGGACUUAGUGAUCCGGUGGUAUAAAGUGGGAUUGCCAUCGCUCAACGGAUAAAAGCUACCCUGGGAUAACAGGCUUAUCACUCCCAAGAGUUCACAUCGACGGAGUGGUUUGGCACCUCGAUGUCGGCUCAUCGCAUCCUGGGGCUGUAGCAGGUCCCAAGGGUUGGGCUGUUCGCCCAUUAAAGCGGUACGCGAGCUGGGUUCAGAACGUCGUGAGACAGUUCGGUCCCUAUCCGGCGCGGGCGGAGGAUAUUUGAGAGGAGCUGUCCUUAGUACGAGAGGACCGGGAUGGACGGACCACUGGUGUAUCUGUUGUCGACCAACGGCAUGGCAGAGUAGCCAAGUCUGGAAGGGAUAAACGCUGAAGGCAUCUAAGCGUGAAGCCCCCCUCAAGAUGAGAUAUCCCUCCUUCGGGAGUAAGACCCCUUGAAGACUACAAGGUAGAUAGGGCAGAGGUGGAAGCAUGGCAACAUGUGGAGCUGACUGUUACUAAUAGGUCGAGGGCUUAAUGA
rnacentral:rRNA from 1 species